CUGCACGUUUCGGUUGCUUCUAUCAGUUUCCUCCUACCGGGCCGUGCACUCGACAGAGGCAGGAGAAUUAGCGUUUUGUUCACUGCUCCAUCCACAGCCCCAGGGCAGUGCCUGGCCCCCAGCACGCCUCAACACACACCUGCUAAGUCAAUAAAGGGAUCCCUGGUCCCACGCCGGCCCCGGGGUCAGGCCCACCGUCACCAUCAGGGGAGGGGAGACGGGGGCCAAGGCCCACGGGACACCUGCUCCUAGGACUGUGCCUCCCUCUCUGAAGUCAACGCGUGGCCGGGACAGCUCCUCCCAGGAGAGCUUCCCAAUCGAACCCGCUGCCAAGCUGUACAAGAGGCGGUUCCCCAAAACCAGUGUGGAAAGAGGUCUGGGGCCAACGCCAGGGUGUGAUCACAAGAGGGGUAGGGCAGGGCAGGAGGGAGGACUUGGACUAUUUUUAAAAACUCGCUCCCAAAAAGACCACGUCCUUGUUCUGAUGAGUCAGAGGCAUGUGACCAGGAGAGGGGACAGAACGGAAUCAGCCUGGGGACUUCUCACCCAUGAGACUGUUUUUGAGAGGAAGCCCUGGAUGAACAUAUCAGGGAUCCUUCUCGCCUUCUAGGUGGUAGGGAUGUGAAGGGGCCAAACCAGUCACCCCCCCUGAAGACCCCAAAGUCCCGCUAACAGAGGACGCCCAGCGGGAAAGUCUGCGGCCAUUGCUCCCAGAGGAGCUCAGCCCUCGAAGGGACAGAGGAGAGUUGGUGGCCGGUCCCCAGCCAAGCCUCAGGAGACCCGGAUUCGUUGGCCAAAAGCCGGGGAGGCAGCCUCGCCUUUAGAAACUUCUGGAUCCUCCAGAGGAAAAACUGAGAGGAGAGGCCCGCUUAAUGGCAGCACACGCUGUUAGGAGCCAGGAGAGAGAACCUAAUGCUCUGCUAUCUCUUAGCUGUGUGACCUCAGGCAGGUCACCUCACCUCUCUGAGCCUCUGUCCCUCAAUUACAGGGAUCUUCAUUCCUGCCCUGCCCAGCACCCCAGGCUGGCGUGAGACCCAUCGGGGACAACAGACGUGGCCCAGCUUUGUAAACGGUCGAGCACCUUAGGGUGAGGCGCUGCCCUCGUUAACCAGCAAAGGACCCUUCGUGGACAGACCAAGGCAGGUGUAGCAUCGUGGAGGCCACUCUGGAAGGUCAUUACCAUUCGUGCUGGACUCUGCAGCUCGGGCGCCACGUGAGACAGAGCGUGAGCUGCCACGAAGCCCGAGCGGGGGAGGGAGAAAAGCUUCAGCAAUAACACUUGUUUUCCUCGGACGCGGGGAGGCCAGAGAAACGCGCGAUCCAUCUAAACGCCCCUAACAAGCCCAGCCUGGCCGUGCCCCGCCAGCCCCCCACCCUGCUGCGCCUCAUCGACUCGUGGCAGCAGAAAGGGAGGGGGCGGGGGGCUCCGUCAGGCCCCAGAACCAGACCCGUCUGGCCUCCCAUCUCAGCUCCCCUUUUCCAAGCUGCGAAACCUUAAGUAAGUUACUCAACCUCUCUGGGUCCGUUUCCUCGGCUGUGAACGAGAACGGCGACAACACCACCGGCCUCACAGGGGCGUUGGGAGGACUGAAAGAGCUCACGCGCGGGGC
ensembl:lncRNA